rnacentral:rRNA from 1 species
UACGGAGGGUGCAAGCGUUAUCCGGAUUCACUGGGUUUAAAGGGUGCGUAGGCGGAAUUGUAAGUCCGUGGUGAAAUCUCCGAGCUUAACUCGGAAACUGCCGUGGAUACUAUAGUUCUUGAAUGUUGUGGAGGUUUGCGGAAUAUGUCAUGUAGCGGUGAAAUGCUUAGAUAUGACAUAGAACACCGAUUGCGAAGGCAGCAGGCUACACAAAUAUUGACGCUGAGGCACGAAAGCGUGGGGAUCAAACAGG